AGCAACUUGGCGCAGAGGUAGCGCGCGGGGCCCAUAACCCCGAGGUCCCUGGAUCGAAACCAGGAGUUGCUA